AUUGAACGCUGGCGGCAGGCCUAACACAUGCAAGUCGAACGAGCGGCGGACGGGUGAGUAAUGUCUGGGAAACUGCCUGAUAGAGGGGGAUAACUACUGGAAACGGUAGCUAAUACCGCAUACCAUCGGAUGUGCCCAUAUGGGAUUAGCUAGUAGGUGGGGUAACGGCUCACCAAGGCGACGAUCCCUAGCUGGUCUGAGAGGAUGACCAGCCACACGGGGACUGAGACACGGUCCAGACUCCGACGGGAGGCAGCAGGGGGGAAUAGUGCACAAUGGGCGCAAGCCUGAUGCAGCGAUGCCGCGUGUAUGAAGAAGGCCUUCGGGUUGUAAAGUAAUUUCAGCGGGGAGGCGUUACCCGCAGAAGAAGCACCGGCUAACUCCGUGCCAGCAGCCGCGGUAAUUC
rnacentral:rRNA from 1 species